CUCUAAUGAAAGGUGCUGUGUACACUUGAUAUUUUCAUUGAGAAACCUAUAUGUAUGCUCACAUGCAGUGCAAUAUGCACAUUUCUGCACUUGAGUCUCCCCUGACCAAUAUAGUCAAAAACAGUUUAUGUGUAGUCCACUCAUUCAAAGGUUCUAUUCCUGAUGGAGAAGGUUAACUUCAUGUGACUAAACAUAUAUGAAUAUUUAUGACAUGUUUAGUAUAAGAGGAUAUGUUUAUCAGCUUUAGAAAGACACCGUAGGGAUGGAC